GUCGAAAAGUGUCCAAAUACGUGUUAAUGUUUAAUGUAUCAUGUUGAUAUUCCUUAUUUCUCGGCUGUGAAGACUGCCAAAUACUGCACCAUUAGCAAUGUUGAACAAUAACUCCAAGACAAUUCUUUAUGAAAGAGUCUUUACCCUUUGUAUUUACUUCCCAUUCACUUCGACAGCCCUUUUCAUACACAAUUUUGCAAACUAAAAACCAAGACAACAGAACUAACUUAAAUACGCCGAUAAAAAAAUUACAAAAAAAACAAAGACCUAACUUUUCCAGCACAAGAAAAGGAUUUCAAAACCCCCAACUUUUGGGAGCAUCUCCACGCCGAGCCAUGCCUUGCAGCCCUGCUUCAAGUCCGGGUGAUGCCCUGUAGUUGGACUGAUAGGCACCAAAGUUAUGGGAGCCAGGGGUGGGAACCGUCCGAGGGCCCUGCUGCCAUGAAGGGGCAGUAUGCUGCGGGCCAUGAAUCACAUUCAUUUGGGGUGGUCGCAAGGACACGGGUUGUGAAGCCAUUUGAGGGGUUGUGAUCUGCUGCAUCAUAUGGGCACGUAAAAUUGGCGGCUGUACGUCAUGCAUAUGUACUGGCUGAAGCUGUGGUUUAUUUUCUUCUGGAUGCCAUUCAGGCAUGUCAUCAUCGUCAUCAUUCCAUGGCCGCACUGCAACCCCUAUAGUUCUAUUAUCCUGCCAAUUCCCUGAAGGGGCACUAGUUUUAGGAAGUCCAUAUCUUUGUACAAGCUCCCUCAUUUGAUCUACAGGGCGAGAUGGUGUUUGUAAGUGUGGUUGAAAGGGGGGCAUCCCUUGCCCCCGAGUAACA
rnacentral:misc_RNA from 1 species